rnacentral:rRNA from 1 species
AGUGAACGCUGGCGGUAGGCCUAACACAUGCAAGUCGAACGGCAGCACAGUAAGAGCUUGCUCUUACGGGUGGCGAGUGGCGGACGGGUGAGGAAUACAUCGGAAUCUACUUUUUCGUGGGGGAUAACGUAGGGAAACUUACGCUAAUACCGCAUACGACCUACGGGUGAAAGCAGGGGAUCUUCGGACCUUGCGCGAUUGAAUGAGCCGAUGUCGGAUUAGCUAGUUGGCGGGGCAAAGGCCCACCAAGGCGACGAUCCGUAGCUGGUCUGAGAGGAUGAUCAGCCACACUGGAACUGAGACACGGUCCAGACUCCUACGGGAGGCAGCAGUGGGGAAUAUUGGACAAUGGGCGAGAGCCUGAUCCAGCCAUACCGCGUGGGUGAAGAAGGCGUUCGGGUUGUAAAGCCCUUUUGUUGGGAAAGAAAAGCAGCAGGUUAAUACCCCGCUGUUCUGACGGUACCCAAAGAAUAAGCACCGGCUAACUUCGUG